CUAAGAGAGGAAGAUCACUGUGUCUUCCUGCAUACUCUGAAGGAAAAAGAAAAGGCAAUUAUUGUCUUCUUGAAGUUCUACUUCACGGAAGGGUUGUGAGACUAAAAUUGUGGACUGACAGGAACAUGUGUGUCACCUGUAUUCCUGGAGAAAAGGCAAGAAUUUACUGUGAAGGUAACAACAACAACAACAACAAAAGUCACUGGAAGUUACCACAGCUUUAGAAUGUAACCAAGAUGCAUAAUCAAGUCUCAAGAUUGAAUCCCCCUCCUGAGGAGUUCCUGAGAUUGUGUGAAUCAAGACCUAGGAGGCUAUGUGAAGCUUUAGCCAACAAAAGCAUUGCCUUUCCACUUUAGAAAAGGGAAAACACUUCCCACAGAUGAUGGCCAUGCAGGAGAAGGAGGGUUCUUCCCAAAGCCAGCGAGGCGGUACAAAGCAAAGCAAAAACCUGAGAUCGUGGAGGUGAUGAAGAAAAUGGCAAUGAUGAUGAUCACAGGUUCCCACCCAGCUGAUACAUUUCUAGGCAGUAGUUUGGAAAUAAGACCCAGUGAUGCCAG